rnacentral:rRNA from 1 species
AUUGAACGCUGGCGGCAGGCCUAACACAUGCAAGUCGAGCGAGCGGCGGACGGGUGAGUAAUGUAUGGGGACUGCCCGAUAGAGGGGGAUCACUACUGGAAACGGCGGCGAAUACCGCAUACUGUCGGAUAACCCAUAUGGGAUUAGCUAGUAGGGAAGGUAAUGGGUUACCUAGGGGACGAACCCUAGCUGGUCUGAGAGGAUGAUCAGCCACACUGGGACUGAGGCACGGCCCAGGAUCCUACGGAGGCAGCAGGGGGGAAUAUUGCACAAUGGGCGCAAGCCUGACGGAGCAACGCCGCGUGAGUGAUGACGGCCUUCGGGUUGUAAAGCUCUGUUAAUCGGGAGACGGUACCGGAAUAGAAAGCCACGGCUAACUACGUGCCAGCAGCCGCGGUAAUAC